rnacentral:rRNA from 1 species
GCCCUACGGGAGGCAGCAGUAAGGAAUAUUGGUCAAUGGACGGAAGUCUGAACCAGCCACGCCGCGUGCAGGAAGACGGCCCUAUGGGUUGUAAACUGCUUUUGUUUGGGAAGAAACCCCUUUUGCGAAAGGGACUGACGGUACCAGACGAAUAAGCACCGGCUAACUCCGUGCCAGCAGCCGCGGUAAUA